rnacentral:rRNA from 1 species
AACGUAGGAGGCGAGCGUUAUCCGGAUUCACUGGGCGUAAAGCGCGUGUAGGUGGUUCGCCAAGUCGCUGGUGAAAGCCCCUGGCUCAACUGGGGGAGGUCUGGCGAUACUGGCGGACUUGAGGGUCCGAGAGGAAGGUGGAAUUCCCGGUGUAGCGGUGGAAUGCGUAGAGAUCGGGAGGAACACCAGUGGCGAAGGCGACCUUCUGGCGGGCAUCUGACACUGAGACGCGAAAGCGUGGGGAG